UACGCAGGGUGCUAGCGUUGAUCGGAAUCACUGGGCGUAAAGCGCACGUAGGCGGUUUGCUACGUCCGGGGUGAAAUCCUGGAGCUCAACUCCAGAACUGCCUUUGAUACUGGCGACCUUGAGUCCGGGAGAGGUGAGUGGAACUGCGAGUGUAGAGGUGAAAUUCGUAGAUAUUCGCAAGAACACCAGUGGCGAAGGCGGCUCACUGGCCCGGUACUGACGCUGAGGUGCGAAAGCGUGGGGAGCAAACAGG
rnacentral:rRNA from 1 species